rnacentral:hammerhead_ribozyme from 1 species
AUCCAGCUGAAGAGUCCCAAAUAGAACAACACGUAAGUCCUGAAU